CCUACGGGAGGCAGCAGUGGGGAAUAUUGGACAAUGGGGGGAACCCUGAUCCAGCGACGCCGCGUGAGUGAAGAAGUAUUUCGGUAUGUAAAGCUCUAUCAGCAGGGAAGAAAGAAAUGACGGUACCUGACUAAGAAGCCCCGGCUAACUACGUGCCAGCAGCCGCGGUAAUACGGAGGGGGCAAGCGUUAUCCGGAUUUACUGGGUGUAAAGGGAGCGUAGACGGCGAUGCAAGUCUGAAGUGAAAGGCGGGGGCCCAACCCCUGGACUGCUUUGGAAACUGUAUGGCUGGAGUGCAGGAGAGGUAAGUGGAAUUCCUAGUGUAGCGGUGAAAUGCGUAGAUAUUAGGAGGAACACCAGUGGCGAAGGCGGCUUACUGGACUGUAACUGACGUUGAGGCUCGAAAGCGUGGGGAGCAAACAGGAUUAGAUACCCUGGUAGUC
rnacentral:rRNA from 1 species